rfam:Alligator mississippiensis ScZkoYb_234, whole genome shotgun sequence.
AGUUGCUAGGCAGUGUAGUUAGCUGAUUGCAAAAGGCAACAAUCACUAACCACACAGCCAGGUAAAA